AUCAGUUGUCGUGCUAACGGCACUGCUGAUUAGCUACGUGCGGAUCGGAUAACCGCUGAAAGCAUCUAAGCGGGAAGCCGGCCUCAAGAUGAGAUCUCCCAUCCACUCGAUGGAGUAAGACCCCUGGUAGACCACCAGGUUGAUAGGCCAGAUCUGGAAGGGUGGUAACACCUGUAGGAGACUGGUACUAAUGGGUCGAGGGCUUGACGGU
rnacentral:rRNA from 1 species